rnacentral:rRNA from 1 species
AUGCUUGGGAACUCGCCUUUGCGAGGGGGAUAACAGUUGGAAACGACUGCUAAUACCGCAUAAUGUCUUCGGACCAAACGGGGCUUCGGCUCCGGCGCAAAGAGAGGCCCAAGUGAGAUUAGCUAGUUGGUAAGGUAAAGGCUUACCAAGGCGACGAUCUCUAGCUGUUCUGAGAGGAAGAUCAGCCACACUGGGACUGAGACACGGCCCAGACUCCUACGGGAGGCAGCAGUGGGGAAUAUUGCACAAUGGGGGAAACCCUGAUGCAGCCAUGCCGCGUGUGUGAAGAAGGCCUUCGGGUUGUAAAGCACUUUCAGUUGUGAGGAAAAGUUAGUAGUUAAUACCUGCUAGCCGUGACGUUAACAACAGAAGAAGCACCGGCUAACUCCGUGCCAGCAGCCGCGGUAAUACGGAGGGUGCGAGCGUUAAUCGGAAUUACUGGGCGUAAAGCGCACGCAGGCGGUUUGUUAAGCUAGAUGUGAAAGCCCCGGGGCUCAACCUGGGAUGGUCAUUUAGAACUGGCAGACUAGAGUCUUGGAGAGGGGAGUGGAAUUCCAGGUGUAGCGGUGAAAAUGCGUAGAUAUCUGGAGGAACAUCAGU